rnacentral:lncRNA from 1 species
GUGCCAAACGCUCCCAUGGAAAUGAUCAGACACCUAUAUCAGAAAAGAGUGAAGGGACUUGAACAAAAAUAUAUAUAUAUAUGGGUUUUCCUAAAGAUGGGUGCUAAACUUCUACCAAACAUGUCUCUAGGGACAAAGAGUUGGCCUCCACUCGGGUCAUAACAGUGUAUUUUGGCUGUGGCAACGCUGGGAUGCCCAUUCACACUCUGACACAAGAGCCUGGCACUUGUCACAAAUUAUCAGGAAGAUUGCAGAUGCGUUUGGGAGCCUCGGGUACUCGUUAGACACGGUGAGCCAUUCAAGGCAAGAGGGCCUGUGAGAGUUUGUUCCAGAACCAGUCUGAUGCAAGUGCACCUCCAAUCUAUGCCUUACGAACUCCAGAGGCCAUAUGCAAAACAGGGUCUUCUCAGUGUAUGCAAGGGGCUGCGGCCCCUCCUCUCCUCCCCAGCUGAACAAUACGGACAGUUUUCACACAUAUCUACCUGUAUAACCCUCCGUACCUCUCAUAACUGGUCAACGACUGUAACAGGUUACAUCAGGUGUUUUUCUACAUACUUUUUACACAGAUUCUAUGCGAUUAAUGUAACUUAAUUCAGCGCAUCAUUGUACAAGUUCUUACGCUUGGCCUUAUUUUUUUCCUAAGUGAUUGUGGUUUUUCUUGUGGUUUUUUCUUGUGGUUUUUCUUGUAAAGAUAUUGAGAUGGCUGUUGAUGCUUAUUCUCUGUAACUAAGAAUUUUUACCUUUUUGGGAAAAAGCAUUGCUAUGGAUUAAUGAAUUGAGACUUCAUUUACUCGUUGUAAAUACACUAUUGUGCAAAAAAAAAAAAGUUUCAUUCAAUUGAAUUGCUAGUGUUUACUGAAUUUUGUCUAGACGCCAUUUCUGUUGAUGAAAUAAAGGCCUAUCAUUCU